UGUGAUUGCAUGGAAACUGUGUUUGUUUUUUCGAGCAGUUUUGGCUCACGCAGCUUCUGUCAUGUUUUCGUUUAUUUGCCUCGGGCGUCGCCCCCCCAGCAGGUCUUUGGGAUCGGUGUGAAGCGGCGUAUGACGGAAACGCACUGUAGGAGACGGUAAAGAACGUGAGAUUGAUGCCAUGGUGGAAAGAUCGAACCGAAGGAACCCAUCAUAUUAAAGAGGACGCAGGAAUCUGCACAGACGGCAUGUCGAACAUUUGGGAACACACACAAAAUAAUAAAGAAAGAUUUUUAGAAAAAAAAUGUAUUUAACAUGUAGAGCUGACUGAAAUGGCCUUUGAAAAUAUGAAUGGUGAACUGGUAAAGGCAUUGUUCUAUUGUGAGGUGAAGCACGGUACUUUAAUUACCUAAAGUAAUUUAGCCACGGAGCAUUUUUGCAACAAGUUAAAAAAAAACACAAUCAGUGCUAAGGUGUAACUUUGAUGUCAGUGAUUUAGAGAAGAACCUCCAGCCAUUACACAGAUAUGUAAACUAAGACUGGAGGUGGAGUGGGCUGCUAUUAAGGAGAGAAAGUGGAAAAGCACUGCUGUCAGGCUGAGAGAUGUCACCUCCCUGAAUAUCAGUUCUCGAACAAAAAAGGUCAAAUGGCACCUCAAAGUGGUCUAUCAAAGUGAGCAAUGCACUUUGGAUGUUUGAAAUGUUAUUCAUCCAUCACGGAAAGAAUUCUGAGCACUUCAGUGCUUCAAGAAAUUUGGGAAUCUGGGUAUCCAUCUGGGUAAUGUGCUCCGAAGUGGGCAGGACGUGUUCGGCAAACCACGUUGAACGAGGGUUCCUAUUCAAAAAUAAAAUGUAGUUCAACGAGCAGUAGAUGGCCUUCAUAGGCAUCGUGUGUUAAAAGUAAUAAAAAUAAAAACUCUGAGAGAAGGUUGUAAAAAGCAAAAAAAGGAAAAAUAGCUGUGAUGUUUUAUCUUUUGAUUUGAAAAGGCAAAGAAGAUCAUCGUCAAUGAAUGACAAAUAAUUGCUUCAAGAACGUUGCAAAUACUGGAAUACACUGUUAUUCAUUUCUUAAGCAGAGGAAUGAAUGGAAUCUGCUUGGGUCUACUGACGUAAACAGAUUCUGAAAUGUGGUUUCAUUAAAGCACUGUUAGGCGAGUUCAAGCUCUAUCAAAAGACAACCUGUCCCUGCCAUCAUGCAUUUGUUUUAAUUAUUACUUGUGUGGCUGGAUGCUGGAUACUUUUUUACAAAAACAAAGCGAAGGAUGAACUAUGAAUGCUGAUGAAGAACGUUCUGUUUAUUCAUCAAGCGUCCCCUUGGAGUAAGACCGCAACGUAAAAGUGACACUAAUUACUAUUAAUUAAAAUUUCACACUGACUUACUUUUCUUGACAAAAGAAAAGAAAGAAAGCAGUUUUGAAAAUGUGUUAAGAAGAAAUUCCUCUUGUUCCAAACUCCAACUCCUGACGACAGCAGAAUGUUUAGCUGAGCGCAUUUGUUCAUGCCCACUGACAUGUUUAUACGGCAACUGUUAUUCAACGUUUGUCCUGCAAAUGUCCAAAAAACUCACAUUUUAUUGUUUCAGUAUAUGUCAGGUACUCAGUAUGACAGCCUAUUUCUUUGUCUUGGCAUGAGAUGAAUGUCCCCACACCAAUAUUAUGUAAAUGGAUGGAAAAUCUCAUUAAAACUGUGGCAAAAAUGUUGGAAACUAAAAUAAACUAUUUCUGUCCUCUUUGUAAAAAGAUGUAUCAUCUCCCACUUAAGGUCUCUGCGACCUCCUCUAACUCCCGAUGACUCAGUGAUCCUACUUGUGCUGAACAAAAGGACUGACAAGCAAGAGGGCUGGAACUGGAGUAGAGCGGUGACUCAGCCAAAUUCAACUUUUGAUGUUAAGAACUGAAAUAUGUGAAUAUAUUUGAUAUGUUUGCAAAGACCAUUAAAAAAGUGUAACCGUUAAA